rnacentral:rRNA from 1 species
UACGAAGGGGGCUAGCGUUGCUCGGAAUCACUGGGCGUAAAGCGCACGUAGGCGGCUUUCUAAGUCAGGGGUGAAAUCCUGGAGCUCAACUCCAGAACUGCCUUUGAUACUGGAGAGCUUGAGUCCGGAAGAGGUGAGUGGAACUCCGAGUGUAGAGGUGAAAUUCGUAGAUAUUCGGAAGAACACCAGUGGCGAAGGCGGCUCUCUGGACGGUAACUGACGCUGAGACGCGAAAGCGUGGGGAGCAAACAGG